UUCCGGUUGAUCCCGCCGGACCUGACUGCUAUCGGAUUGAUACUAAGCCAUGCGAGUCUUUGUAGUAAUACAAGGCAGACGGCUCAGUAACACGUAGUCAACCUACCCUAUGGACGAGAAUAAUCUCGGGAAACUGAGCAUAAUUCUUGAUAGAUCAUAAUGCCUGGAAUGGUUUAUGGUUAAAAUGAUUCGUCGCCAUAGGAUGGGACUGCGGCCUAUCAGCUUGUUGGUGAGGUAAUGGCCCACCAAGGCGAUUACAGGUACGGGCUCUGAGAGGAGAAGCCCGGAGAUGGGUACUGAGACACGGACCCAGGCCCUAUGGGGCGCAGCAGGCGAGAAAACUUUGCAAUGUGCGAAAGCACGACAAGGUUAAUCCGAGUGAUUUCUGCUAAAGAAAUCUUUUGCCAGUCGUAAAACCGCUGGUGAAUAAGGGGUGGGCAAGUUCUGGUGUCAGCCGCCGCGGUAAAACCAGCACCUCAAGUGGUCAGGAUGAUUAUUGGGCCUAAAGCAUCCGUAGCCUGCUUUGUAAGUUUUCGGUUAAAUCCAUGUGCUCAACGCAUGGGCUGCCGAAAAUACUGCAUAGCUAGGGAGUGGGAGAGGUAGACGGUACUCAGUAGGUAGGGGUAAAAUCCUUUGAUCUAUUGAUGACCACCUGUGGCGAAGGCGGUCUACCAGAACACGUUCGACGGUGAGGGAUGAAAGCUGGGGGAGCAAACCGGAUUAGAUACCCGGGUAGUCCCAGCUGUAAACGAUGCAGACUCGAUGAUGCAUUGGCAUAAUAGCCAUUGCAGUGUCGCAGGGAAGCCGUUAAGUCUGCCGCCUGGGAAGUACGUACGCAAGUAUGAAACUUAAAGGAAUUGGCGGGGGAGCACCACAAGGGGUGAAGCCUGCGGUUCAAUUGGAUUCAACGCCGGG
rnacentral:rRNA from 1 species